rnacentral:rRNA from 1 species
GAUGAACGCUGGCGGCGUGCCUAAUACAUGCAAGUCGAACGAAACUUCUUUAUCACCGAGUGCUUGCACUCACCGAUAAAGAGUUGAGUGGCGAACGGGUGAGUAACACGUGGGCAACCUGCCCAAAAGAGGGGGAUAACACUUGGAAACAGGUGCUAAUACCGCAUAACCAUAGUUACCGCAUGGUAACUAUGUAAAAGGUGGCUAUACUACCGCUUUUGGAUGGGCCCGCGGCGCAUUAGCUAGUUGGUAGGGUAAAGGCUUACCAAGGCAAUGAUGCGUAGCCGAAUUGAGAGGUUGAUCGGCCAUAUUGGGACUGAGACACGGCCCAAACUCCUACGGGAGGCAGCAGUAGGGAAUCUUCCACAAUGGGCGAAAGCCUGAUGGAGCAACGCCGCGUGGGUGAAGAAGGUCUUCGGAUCGUAAAACCCUGUUGUUAGAGAAGAAAGUGCGUGAGAGUAACUGUUCACGUUUCGACGGUAUCUAACCAGAAAGCCACGGCUAACUACGUG